GCCCGCAGAGUUUGAGCGCCUCCUCUGCCGGUCCUUCCUCGGAGAGCGCUUCGCUCAGCCGAUCCGCGGGGCAGGGACGGGGAGGGUGGGUGGUGCUCAAACCGCCGUGUCCCGGGC